AUAAACACGCUACCAUGAUACGCUAAUGCAUGUGAUUUUCGAACAUUAUUUAACAUUUAAAACUUUAUUAUGCUCCAUAAUUUUUUUUUUCAAGGUCCAUAAGAUCAAACUGACUAUAAAGGGCUUCAUUAUGGUGGGGAUCUGUGAUCCAAAAAUGAAAAUCUUUCCUUGUUAGUGGAUUUGUCGACUACUGAUAAAUAUUUUGGGACGUAAAACGAAAAAUCGAAUUUCUUUUAAGAAUUGAAGCUUUUUGCAGAGAUUUUAUGAAGCUCAAGUAAAAUUUUUAGCUCGAUCUAUUCUACACUCCCAAUAUUUCUUGCCGAGGGAAAAUUCGUAUAAAAUACAAUGGAAAAUCAUAGACGAAAGAAAUUUAUUUCAGCACAUUUGGUGACCCAUACCUCAAUACCGAAUGAAUAGUCAUGAUUGGUGAUGAUCGUGAUGAUAGGCCGCAACUACAGCGUCGGGCGGCCAAUAAUACCAGAUUUGAAACGCGACUGUACUACUGGGCGAGCUUCGUCAUACUCUGUCUCUCCAUCGUACUGCUGUGGAAAUUU